rnacentral:rRNA from 1 species
CCUUGUACACACCGCCCGUCACGCCAUGGAAGCUGGAGGGACCGAAACCGGUGUGCCAACCGCAAGGGGGCAGCCGUCUAAGGUCAAUUCAGUGACUGGGGCG